rnacentral:rRNA from 1 species
GUAGGGUGCGAGCGUUAAUCGGAUUUACUGGGCGUAAAGCGUGCGCAGGCGGCCCGUUAAGACAGGUGUGAAAUCCCUGGGCUCAACCUAGGAAUUGCGCUUGUGACUGGCGGGCUCGAGUACGGUAGAGGGGGGUGGAAUUCCUGGUGUAGCAGUGAAAUGCGUAGAGAUCAGGAGGAACACCGAUGGCGAAGGCAGCCCCCUGGGCCUGUACUGACGCUCAUGCACGAAAGCGUGGGGAGCAAACAGGAUUAGAUACCCUGGUAGUCCACGCCCUAAACGAUGGGUACUAGCCGUUUGGUGCGCGAUAGCGCUGAGUGGCGAAGCCAACGCGUUAAGCGCGCCGCCUGGGGAGUACGGCCGCAAGGCUG